UGUAUAAAUACUGGAACGAGUAACCAAGCUUCUUGAAAUACUAUAAUUUGUGUCAAAGCUCAAACAAUUUCCUUCCUUGUAAAACAUCCAAUUUGAAGAAGUGAACAGUAUUUUUCUUGAAAAGAAAUGUUACAGAAAUUAUCAUACAGCAUAACAUGUGGUAGCACCGGAGCAAAAUCUAUGACAGAACAACUAAACCCUCGGAAAAUCAAGAGGACAACUAAACCCUCGGCAAAUCAAGAGGGGGUGGGGUGGCUACAAUAAGCCACUCUUCCAAUGCCUUCCUAGUAAGGCCAGAAGUCAGCACCGCCAGGCUUCUUUACAAGGAUUUGGUUGUACUCAGGCCUAGACGUGAGAUUCUUGAAGAAGAAAAAAGCAAUGAGAAAGAACAGAACGAAGAAGAUCUCAAAUUCUGCAAAGCGUACAAAGGCAAAGACCUUAUUCAUUAGUCGAGCCAGUGCUGAUUCAUUCCUUUUGCUCCCACUUGUCCUAACUUGCCUGGUAUCAUUCCUGGCCAUCUCUCUAUCUUACUCCUCAACUUCCGUUGUUUUAAUCAAUUAUUAUCUGUGUUGUAGUCAGCAAAGCAGAUGUCAGAACAUAGCUGAUCCAUAGAGGAGGUAUAAGCUUAGAAAAUGAAGACUAUCCAGUUCAAUCAAUCUAAAUGGGGCUCCCAUCUGAUUCAAAUAGAUGAAGCAAAGCAUAACAAAAAAGGAUAAGGCGUGCAAUGGCUACAAAGCGUGAAACAAAGGGUGCUUGCAGGCUAACGCUGGACAGUCAUUUUGAAGUUGCAUCAAGCUCUUAGUAAUUUGAAAAAUUUAAGAUUUACUUAGUUAAUCCAAAACAGCAACAUCAUGUCAUGCUAAAAGAAAGUUCAGUAAGAAUAUCUAUAUCAAGCAUUCUAGAGUAACUAGACAAGAAGCUAGUCUCAUGGGUCUCUCAAACUCCUUAACCUCCGAGCUUCCUUGAGUAUUUGGGUAUAUGAUGCAGCAACUACAUACAGGAACAAAACAAUUGAAAACCUAUCCAACAGAAAUCUAAGCUGAAUGAAUGUUUUUAUUUAAAGCAGCAAUAUCCAAAAAAAAUAAAAUUACUUGAAAGAACCCUAACACACCAAGUGUUACAUGACAAGCAUAUUAUUCAAUAAUAAUAAUUAAAAAAAAAACACAAUAUAACAAACAUACUUGUUCAGCACCUACGAAACAAGAAAAACGGCUCUGCAAAUCUGAACACAUCAGGACCUACUCUUCAAACAAAACUCCUAAAGAGCAGAUCUAGCCCCGAAACAACUGCAAACUACCAUCAUACAGACACAUCCUCGAGUGGAAAAUGCAUCAAAAGAUUAUACCAAUAAGCCUCCCCAAUACCUUGUCUAUCAUUUUCCUCCAAUCCGGUCACAGUAGUAACAUCCAAUACCCGUUUUCUUUUUUUAAUUAAAACCAUUUUAUCCUAAAUUUAGAGGUCGAAUUACUCUAAAUUCUAACAACGGUAGUUCAUUCAUUUUCAUUUGAAAAUCAACACCAAGCAAUCAGCGCCCUCGAAAAGAAGAAAAAAUUUCGAAAGUCAUCGAUUUUCUAUUAAGAUCGAAGAUUUAUAAUUUAAAAAAUUCUAGGAUUCAUAUAGAAUCUUCAAAUUAAAAGAAAAGAUUGUACGAUUGGAAUUAAACGCAUAACCAGACAGAUACACGCGCAUACGAAAAGAUUGAUGAGAUCCACCUACCUACACGCCUAGAGAGAGAGAGAGCGCACCUCUUGUCCAAUCGCGAGGUGCAGCAAUGGAGAAAUUGGAGCGCGAGCGAGCGAUUAAUGUUUCCUUCCUUUAUCUGGAUUUAUACCAAGUGACGACUCCUCCUUUUUCUUUUUUAAUAAUAUAUCAUUUCACGUUGGUUUUUCCUUUGACCGCC
rnacentral:lncRNA from 1 species